rnacentral:rRNA from 1 species
UACGGAGGGGGCUAGAGUUGUUCGGAAUUACGGGGCGUAAAGCGCGUGUAGGCGGAUGUUCAAGUCGGGGGUGAAAUCCCGGGGCUCAACCCCGGAACUGCCUCCGAUACUGGACGUCUGGAGGACGGGAGAGGCGAGUGGAAUGCCGAGUGUAGAGGUGAAAUUCGUAGAUAUUCGGCGGAACACCCGUGGCGAAGGCGGCUCGCUGGUCCGUUUCUGACGCUGAGGCGCGAAAGCGUGGGGAGCAAACAGG